AUUGAACGCUGGCGGCAGGCCUAACACAUGCAAGUCGAGCGGAAGAAGGGAGCUUGCUCCUGGAUUCAGCGGCGGACGGGGGAGUAAUGCCUAGGAAUCUGCCUGGUAGUGGGGGAUAACGUCCGGAAACGGGCGCUAAUACCGCAUACGUCCUGAGGGAGCAAGUGGGGGGUCUUCGGACCUCACGCUCUCAGAUGAGCCUAGGUCGGAUUAGAUAGUUGGUGGGGUAAAGGCCUACCAAGGCGACCAUCCGUAACUGGUCUGAGAGGAUGAUCAGUCACCUUGGAACUGAGACACGGUCCAGACUCCUACGGGAGGACGCAGUGGGGAAUAUUGGACAAUGGGGGAGAGCCUGAUACAGCCAAGCCGCGUGUGUGAAGAAGGUCUUCGGAUUGGAAAGCACUUUAAGUUGGGAGGAAGGGCAGUAAGUUAAUACCUUGCUGUAUUGACGUUACCAACAGAAUAAGCACCGGCUAACUUCGUG
rnacentral:rRNA from 1 species